rnacentral:rRNA from 1 species
GACAGAGGAUGCAAGCGUUAUCCGGAAUGAUUGGGCGUAAAGCGUCUGUAGGUGGCUUUUUAAGUCUGCCGUCAAAUCCCAGGGCUUAACCCUGGACAGGCGGUGGAAACUACCAAGCUGGAGUACGGUAGGGGGCAGGGGGGAAUUUCCGGUGGAGCGGUGAAAUGCGUAGAGAUCGGAAAGAACACCAACGGCGAAAGCACUCUGCUGGGCCGACACUGACACUGAGAGACGAAAGCUAGGGGAGCGAAUGGG